GACGAACGCUGGCGGCGUGCUUAACACAUGCAAGUCGAACGGAAAGGCCCUGCUUUUGUGGGGUGCUCGAGUGGCGAACGGGUGAGUAACACGUGAGUAACCUGCCCUUGACUUUGGGAUAACUUCAGGAAACUGGGGCUAAUACCGGAUAGGAGCUCCUGCUGCAUGGUGGGGGUUGGAAAGUUUCGGCGGUUGGGGAUGGACUCGCGGCUUAUCAGCUUGUUGGUGGGGUAGUGGCUUACCAAGGCUUUGACGGGUAGCCGGCCUGAGAGGGUGACCGGCCACAUUGGGACUGAGAUACGGCCCAGACUCCUACGGGAGGCAGCAGUGGGGAAUAUUGCACAUUGGGCGGAAGCCUGAUGCAGCAACGCCGCGUGCGGGAUGAAGGCCUUCGGGUUGUAAACCGCUUUCGCCUGUGACGAAGCGUGAGUGACGGUAAUGGGUAAAGAAGCACCGGCUAACUACGUG
rnacentral:rRNA from 1 species